GCUCCCAGGCGUCGAGCGGCGGACGGGUGAGUAACACUUAGGAAUCUACCUAGUAGUGGGGGAUAGCUCGGGGAAACUCGAAUUAAUACCGCAUACGACCUACGGGAGAAAGGGGGCAGUUUACUGCUCUCGCUAUUAGAUGAGCCUAAGUCGGAUUAGCUAGAUGGUGGGGUAAAGGCCUACCAUGGCGACGAUCUGUAGCUGGUCUGAGAGGAUGAUCAGCCACACCGGGACUGAGACACGGCCCGGACUCCUACGGGAGGCAGCAGUGGGGAAUAUUGGACAAUGGGGGGAACCCUGAUCCAGCCAUGCCGCGUGUGUGAAGAAGGCCUUUUGGUUGUAAAGCACUUUAAGCAGUGAAGAAGACCUAACGGUUAAUACCCGUUAGCGAUGACAUUAGCUGCAGAAUAAGCACCGGCUAACUCUGUGCCAGCAGCCGCGGUAAUACAGAGGGUGCAAGCGUUAAUCGGAAUUACUGGGCGUAAAGCGAGCGUAGGUGGCUUGAUAAGUCAGAUGUGAAAUCCCCGGGCUUAACCUGGGAACUGCAUCUGAUACUGUUAAGCUAGAGUAGGUGAGAGGGAAGUAGAAUUCCAGGUGUAGCGGUGAAAUGCGUAGAGAUCUGGAGGAAUACCGAUGGCGAAGGCAGCUUCCUGGCAUCAUACUGACACUGAGGCUCGAAAGCGUGGGUAGCAAACAGGAUUAGAUACCCUGGUAGUCCACGCCGUAAACGAUGUCUACUAGUCGUUGGGUCCCUUGAGGACUUAAUGACGCACCUCACGCAAUAAGUAGACCGCCGGGCGAAUACGGCCGCGAGGGUUAAGACUCAGAUGAAAUUGACCGGGGGCCCGCA
rnacentral:rRNA from 1 species